rnacentral:rRNA from 1 species
AGUGGACGCUGGCGGUAGGCCUAACACAUGCAAGUCGAACGGCAGCACAGGAGAGCUUGCUCUCUGGGUGGCGAGUGGCGGACGGGUGAGGAAUACAUCGGAAUCUACUCUGUCGUGGGGGAUAACGUAGGGAAACUUACGCUAAUACCGCAUACGACCUACGGGUGAAAGCAGGGGACCUUCGGGCCUUGCGCGAUUGAAUGAGCCGAUGUCGGAUUAGCUAGUUGGCGGGGUAAAGGCCCACCAAGGCGACGAUCCGUAGCUGGUCUGAGAGGAUGAUCAGCCACACUGGAACUGAGACACGGUCCAGACUCCUGCGGGAGGCAGCAGUGGGGAAUAUUGGACAAUGGGCGCAAGCCUGAUCCAGCCAUGCCGCGUGGGUGAAGAAGGCCUUCGGGUUGUAAAGCCCUUUUGUUGGGAAAGAAAUCCAGCUGGCUAAUACCCGGUUGGGAUGACGGUACCCAAAGAAUAAGCACCGGCUAACUUCGUGCCAGCCGCCGCCGUAA